rnacentral:rRNA from 1 species
UACGUAGGCAGCGAGCGUUGUUCGGAAUUACUGGGCGUAAAGAGUGUGUAGGCGGUGCUCUAAGUUCGGUGUGAAAUCUCCCGGCUUAACUGGGAGGGUGCGCCGGAAACUGGAGUGCUCGAACGUGGGAGAGGAAAGCGGAAUUCCUGGUGUAGCGGUGAAAUGCGUAGAUAUCAGGAGGAACACCGGUGGCGAAGGCGGGUCUCUGGGCCGAUACUGACGCUGAGGAGCGAAAGCGUGGGGAGCGAACAGG